AGAACGAACGCUGGCGGCAUGCCUAACACAUGCAAGUCGAACGCUUUUGGGGCUUCGGUCCCAAAGGAGUGGCGCACGGGUGAGUAGCGCGUGGGAACCUGCCCUGUUGUGGGGGAUAACCGAGGGAAACUUCGGCUAAUACCGCAUACGCCCGGGGGAAACUCCGGGGAAAGAUUUAUCGCAGCAGGAGGGGCCCGCGUCGGAUUAGGUAGUUGGUGGGGUAACGGCCCACCAAGCCUGUGAUCCGUAGCUGGUCUGAGAGGAUGAUCAGCCACACUGGGACUGAGACACGGCCCAGACUCCUACGGGAGGCAGCAGUGGGGAAUAUUGGACAAUGGGCGCAAGCCUGAUCCAGCAAUGCCGCGUGAGUGAUGAAGGCCUUCGGGUUGUAAAGCUCUUUCGCACGCGACGAUGAUGACGGUAGCGUGAGAGAAGCCCGGCUAACUCGUGCCAGCAGCCGC
rnacentral:rRNA from 1 species